rnacentral:lncRNA from 1 species
AUUUUGGGAUUGUCUGAGCUUGUUUGUGAGGAGCUCAUUUUGGGUUAUGUUUUCAGGGUGUACUUUAUGCUGGAUAUUGUAUAGAGCAAAAAAUGUUAAUGAUAUAUAUUUAUAAGCCUCUUGUGAAAGUUAUGAAAUGGAAAUGAAAGUUUGGUGUUAUUCUUCAAAUAUAGUGGGUGUUUGAAUAUUAUGUUAGUUGAAUGGCAGCAAGUUGUAUAUUAAAUUGAACUAUAGCAGGUUAUUAGUUUAGUUGUAGUUUAGAAUUUCCUUCAUCUUUAUUGUUUAAGGGUGGGGUGUAGCAUGCUCACAAGGUUUUAGGGGUGGGGUGUUACAUAGAUGGUAUCAGAGCAAGAGUUUAUGAUUAUUUGGGGUUAUGUUCGUAAUAAAUUGUUGUUCAGAGCAAAAAUUUGUGAUCAAUUAGGAGAAAGUGAAGGAUCAUCUGAGGAUCAUGAUAAGCUAUAGUUUAUGACCAUUGGGGAUUGUGGUAUGGAUGG